CGAGUUGAACCAGCACGUCCUCCCCGGCCCCCCAGAUCCUGCAGCUUGCAGUUCAUCAAGCCCUUAUUGAUCCAAAGGCGAAUGUUUGAGCGAGGAGAGCUGGCUGCCUCAUUGGCUCUGUUUCACACAAGGUGGUACUGCUCUUGUUAUUCAUACUGCAUCCAAAAAGAUGGCACGCAGCUGGAAAAACAGCUCCGGCCACCGGUGGGGCUGGGAGACAGCUGGCUUUGGGGAGCUCUGCGGAUGGUGGAAGGGCUGUGCUGCCUCACUGGGGAGGCACUGCUGCUCAUCCAGCACCUCUUGUGAUCCCAGCUGAUCAGCAACAUGCGUCUGCCUAAAAACGUUGCCUUCCCAUUGAGCAGGAGACUGCUGCACGAGCAUCGGGGAGGCCGUCCGUGAUGCGAGGUUGCUGGUGGGAAGCGGUGCAACGAGGAGAGCUAACAGGACUCCAGGCUUCGUCAGUGCAACAGGUCCCCGGGGAGUCUCAACAGAAAGAAGACGCUUUGGUUUCUCCUCAUCCAUAAAAUCCUGCCCACCCUCCCUGGUGUGCGAUCAGCACAGCUCUGCUACAACUUGGGGAUCCUAAUGCUGCCAGAUACACACAUGGAGAUUUACCCUGGACUACCAGUAGCAAUCUUCUUCGUCUGAAUCCAAGCUCUGCUCUCAGCAUGCAAAUGCCUUGGCUGGGACUCUGCAGUCCUUAUGGCUGAUAUCAUCCCUAUUUGCAUCGCUGUUUAUUUUAAUUUACCCAAGAGCCACAACUAUCCUCACAGCCCGUUUCUCCUUGCACUCGCUUAAUCCUCAUCACGGCCAUCACCUUCACAAGGAUUCCUUUUUGAAGGGCCUUCCGAGUUGAAGUCAUCUGGCUUGCUUUUCACUUGGCUCCCAAGGAAAGCACAAUUUACAUGAUCACAUUCAGCACAUGCCUGUGUCUGUCUGUUUAUCUCUUCAAAAACCAUGGAGGCUGCUGAGCACAGAGCAUCCACCAUAAUGUGCCACAGGGCAAGGAUAAAGAAGGCUGUGACAUUGAUGGUUUCCGAAGGUUCCCACAUCAGCAGAACAUGCCUCGUGCCUCUGGAGAAAACGUGCUCUUGGAGAAGCCUGCUGCACAAAUGCUCUGGCUUUGGAGGGCUCCCAUGGGAGCAUGAGCAGCCUGAUCCUGCUUGGGGUGCCUGCUGGAACACAACCAUGGUGAUCCUGGGAUAGAAGCAAGGAGUUUGGUGUCUCAGUCCAGCUGGAAAUAGGAAGAUUCUCCAUAAUGCUAUGGCUGUCCCAGGAGACAGAGGGUCUGGCUGGACUGUGUUUCAGCAUGAUGGGACCUUUUGGUAGCUCCUGCUCUGAAGCUGGACGGAGGAGUCCACCAUGCUGGAUGUGAUCCGUUGAGCUGCCAAAUCCAAAACCUGGUUCCAGAGAACAGAAAUAAACUCCAGGGGUGGGAAUCUUCCCCAGGAGGAGGAAAGAGACAACCAGAUGGGCUUUUGGAGCUUUCUUCCUUCCUUUAUUUUUAUAAACAUAAAAAGAAGUUGGACAAGGCCAUGGAUUUAUAGCUGGUCUUGGAAGAGCAGAUAUUGCUUGUUCAGAGGGAGUUUUGGUAUUGCAGUUGUUACUCAGUGGGAGACAUUCCCAUAAAGCUCCUCUGGACUUGGACAUGGAUAGCAUUAAAGCAGGUGUCCAUUUUUAAGAGAUUCUGGAGCUCUGAUGUUUCUUUCAUGUCCCAACUGAGCGUAAAAUUGUCAGUCAGGCUCUUAUGGGUCAUCCAACUCCAAUGGGCAGUGCUUUCCUGGGGGGUGAAUGCAGGGAAAACUGAAAUUCCACACUAUUUAGUAAAAAGGGACAGAGGGAAACCCCUUUUGACUCCCAAAUAAAUCUUCAGCUCUACACAAACAAUCACAAUCCUCCCUCAACUCUUUGUAUCCUUUGGGCAAAGCUUCCUCAGCCAAAGAGGCCAUUGACUGUCCAAGUGUUUUUUUUAAUGCUUGAUUUAAAGCAAGUGGUAAUGGGUCAUUGCAUCCCCAGGAAAGGACUGUCUGUUCUUCUUGCACCUCCAUCCUUCCUUACACAGUCCCUGAAGGAGCCACGUUGAAGAGGAGACCAGGUCCAAAUAUGCUGGGAGAAGAAGACUCAUUUUUUGGGGCUGGGGCUCAGCAGGGCAAUCUGUUGUUCAGUCCGUAUAUCACUUUGCAUGGACUGCCACAUGACAGCCCCAUCGCAAUAUUUGUGAGGAAUCACUUCCUGAGCAUCUUGUGUUGCACUAACAUCAAUGCUUUAGAGUUGCAAAGGGAGAGCAGGGGUUAAGUGUUGCUAGCUGUAGGUCGGAAAACAUGACAAUCUGAAUUCCUCAUCUUUUCAUUAAAAAACACACAGUGAUUUACAGCUGACAGACUGUUUCAUUAUUGUAGGGGAUUGGGAGAGAAGGACUAGUAUGCUUUGAAGCAAGAAGACUGGUGUUUACAGGUCUUUGCUCAUGUCGAUCUCAAUAGGGCUGUUACACAAAGGCAGUGGAUUAACCUUUUCUUGGGACCUGGGAAGAGUUUUGCUCAGCACCUGGUGAUCUCUGUUGAAUCCAAGGCUGCUCCACCGCUCACAGAUAUUCACAACUGUUUAGGCUCUCUCUAAAUCCAGUCCCAUCUCUUCUGUGGAAGUUAGGAGCUGUCUGCCCAAAUGUAGGUGUCUUCAGUAGAAUAGUUGACAUGGGAGUUCAUCAUCUAGAUGCCUGCUAAAGUCAGUGGAGGGAUCAGAAUCAUAGAGACACCGAGGUUG